AAGCAGCUUGCUUCUUUGCUGACGAGUGGCGGACGGGUGAGUAAUGUCUGGGAAACUGCCUGAUGGAGGGGGAUAACUACUGGAAACGGUAGCUAAUACCGCAUAACGUCGCAAGACCAAAGAGGGGGACCUUCGGGCCUCUUGCCAUCGGAUGUGCCCAGAUGGGAUUAGCUAGUAGGUGGGGUAACGGCUCACCUAGGCGACGAUCCCUAGCUGGUCUGAGAGGAUGACCAGCCACACUGGAACUGAGACACGGUCCAGACUCCUACGGGAGGCAGCAGUGGGGAAUAUUGCACAAUGGGCGCAAGCCUGAUGCAGCCAUGCCGCGUGUAUGAAGAAGGCCUUCGGGUUGUAAAGUACUUUCAGCGGGGAGGAAGGGAGUAAAGUUAAUACCUUUGCUCAUUGACGUUACCCGCAGAAGAAGCACCGGCUAACUCCGUGCCAGCAGCCGCGGUAAUACGGAGGGUGCAAGCGUUAAUCGGAAUUACUGGGCGUAAAGCGCACGCAGGCGGUUUGUUAAGUCAGAUGUGAAAUCCCCGGGCUCAACCUGGGAACUGCAUCUGAUACUGGCAAGCUUGAGUCUCGUAGAGGGGGGGUAGAAUUCCAGGUGUAGCGGUGAAAUGCGUAGAGAUCUGGAGGAAUACGCGGUGGCGAAGGCGGCCCCCUGGACGAAGACUGACGCUCAGGUGCGAAAGCGUGG
rnacentral:rRNA from 1 species